CAAGUUCUCUCUGAAAGCAUCCUAAGUCAAAUCAUUGGCUUGAAAAAGUGAGGAGCACAUUGAGAGAGAUCCCUAGGAAUCCUAGCAACAAGCCCGUCACCUAAGAUAUCUGCUUGAUGCAAUUACACAGGUGUGGGUUGAGUGCUUCUCUGCAAUAUCUAUUCAGAGAGCAAUGGGAGAUGUAUCUCUAGUAGGCCUUGCUGGGAAAAAAAAAAAUGAAUCCAAGACUGAGAACUUCAAUUGGAAGAAGAAUGUGAAAGGCUUUUUUUCCCCCCACGAAAUCUCUGGUUUUGCAGGACUUUUGAGUCCACUGCAGACAGCACACCUGACAUUAUCCGAGUUCUCAGGGAAGAGUUACAGGCCAAAGCUGUAAAGGAAGCUAUAAAAGAAGCAAAUGACACCUGCUUGUUGCAAGAGUCUUUCAAGUACCCAAUCCCUCAAUAACUCUGUAUGUGAUAACAUUACAGCAGCCUGAAGAUAAACUUGCUUUCGAAGCUUGGAAGAGAUUUUGUUGUCAACAGCUCCUGGACAGGGAAAAAGCAGCCGAGGGGAAGUCUGUUGGCCACUUUAAAUGUAAUUACCUCAUUCUGUUCCUGUGGAGGCUGGAUAGAAAGUUUUUGAAGACUGUUAAAGAACACAGGUACCAAUUCAGCUCCUUUAAGUGUCCGCCGUUUACAGAGUUGCCAGCUGUCGAGCUCCAGGUGAG